UAUUUUUAAGAGAAUCCUAAAAUAAAUGUAAAAAAAUGAAUAAAAUAUAAUCGAAAAAUAUAAAUAAUUAAUUUUUGGAACAUAUAAUAUGUGUGGAAGCAAAUCUAAUUGGUUUUUAGGAGAAUCCCCAUAUUAAAGGAAACAAAUAAAAAAAAAAAUACAAUUUUCAAAAAAAUAAAAUAAAAUUACAGAAGAAAAAAAUAACAGAAACAAUUAAAAUCGAAUAUAAUACUAAAAAACGGAUGAGAUAAUUUUGGAAAGGAUAUUCUAAUGAAAAUAAAUCAAAAAAAUUAAUACAAUUUUCGGAAAAAAAAAUUGGCUGAAAAUAGAACCCUCAAUAAUCGAACAAAUUUAAAAGAAAACAUAGUCAAUUCAUAAAUUUUUGAAAAAAAUAAAAUAAAAUUCGAAAAACAAAUGAGAUAAA
rnacentral:lncRNA from 1 species